GAAUAGUGCAGGGCAGAGUGACCUUGAUUGGGCCGUUUUAACCAGCGGCAGCGGGCGGCGAGUGCAGCCGCUGUCUCCCAAAAAUAAAUGUCUACCUGUCACAAACCAAAGCAGAAUUAACCCAAUAACGCACACGCUAAGCGCGACGGAGAAGGCGUUCAGAAUGGGAGGAAAUGGCAGCACGGCAAGGAAAGUGUCAUUCGGAUUGGACGAAGAAGAGAAGGUCACGGUUAUUGAAGGAGUCAAGCUGUCAGAUGAUGUUCUUAGGCGAAUGAGGGAAACUCAGGGAUCUUGCAGCUCCAUGAGCCCACCAGCUAAGCAAGACCAUCACAAAACAUCAAGUUUAAAACCAUCCAGUCCCUCCACAACAGGACUGCAAGAGGAAAUUCGGAGAAACUUUGAGAAUCAGCAGACGCUGGUGCAGGAGCAGGUGGCCAGACUGGCCCAGAGGGAUAGAGAGACUGGAAUCGCCGUGGGGUUGGAUGAUCUGAGCCCUUCGCUCAUUGUUGCGAAAGAGAAGGCCUGGGAAGAACAAGAGAAGGCAAAGAUACUGGCCAGGCAGUUGGAGAGGAAAGAACAAGAGUUGGCGAGCAUUUCGAGCUUCUACAAAGAUCAACUUGAGAUACUGGAGAAGAAAAACCUUGAUACUUACCAACAGACAGCUGAACAGUACAACCAGGCAGCCACCAAAGCAGAGGCUCACAUAAGGCCAUGGCAGACCGUCUCGGUGUGCUCUGAGCUUCAGGCCAAGGUGCUCCAGUGUUACCGAGAAAAUCCUCAACAAACCCUGCUCUGCUCCAGCUUGGCCAAACAAUACAUGACCUGCGUUCAGCAAGCCAAGAAGAUUAUCUCUCUCACAGAGGACAUGCACCUCCUAUGAAAGUUUCAGACCUCUCCAUGAUUUCCAAGUGGGAGAACUUGCAGUAUAGCAAGGGCUCACUGACCAAUCACGGAUGAGAAGCCUCAAGCAAGAAAGCAUGGAGAACAAAAGUGAAGAAUAUGCGCGCAUGUCAAAUCCAUUCAAUUCUUUCCUCCUUCAUUGCUUUCGGUUAGCCAUUUAUUUAUAAUUAAUUAAUUAACAACAAGAAUUAAUUAAUAAUUUACAUUAUCUUGAUUUGUCUUUCCCGAGUGUAUGAUUCCUUGAUUUAUUGUCAAGUUGCACAGACACACCCCUUCCUUCUCGGAAAUAAAUC